UGCAGGGCGCUGGUACCUUGCGGACGGGACUCUUUCUGCGCCCAGGCACCCUGUGUGUACCUGCUGCGGGGCGGAGAUGGGCUGGCACCCACUCGUGACUGCGGGACCUGUGCGCGCAUUACCGGCAGCGCUGCUACUUUGUAGCACCAGCUCCUCCCAGUCCGCGGGAAGAUCAGGACCAAGAGGAGGGCCAGGCAUGGUGGGAAGAGCGGCAGGAGCAAGGGCUGCGGGCAGUUGGCCUGCACAGGCCCUCCCAGCAGGGCUGGGCCUCCAUCACCCGCCUCCCUCCAGCAUCUCUAGCCGUAAAUAAACAAGCUCUGAGACCACA